UUAAUUGAAGAGUUUGAUCAUGGCUCAGAUUGAACGCUGGCGGCAGGCCUAACACAUGCAAGUCGAGCGGUAACAGAAAUUAGCUUGCUAAUUUGCUGACGAGCGGCGGACGGGUGAGUAA
rnacentral:rRNA from 1 species